rnacentral:rRNA from 1 species
GCACGGGUGCGUAACGCGUGGGAAUCUGCCCUUUGGUUCGGAAUAACAGCUGGAAACGGCUGCUAAUACCGGAUGAUGACGAAAGUCCAAAGAUUUAUCGCCAGAGGAUGAGCCCGCGUUGGAUUAGGUAGUUGGUGGGGUAAAGGCCUACCAAGCCGACGAUCCAUAGCUGGUCUGAGAGGAUGAUCAGCCACACUGGGACUGAGACACGGCCCAGACUCCUACGGGAGGCAGCAGUGGGGAAUAUUGGACAAUGGGCGCAAGCCUGAUCCAGCAAUGCCGCGUGAGUGAUGAAGGCCCUAGGGUUGUAAAGCUCUUUUACCCGGGAAGAUAAUGACUGUACCGGGAGAAUAAGCCCCGGCUAACUCCGUGCCAGCAGCCGCGGUAAUACGGAGGGGGCUAGCGUUGUUCGGAAUUACUGGGCGUAAAGCGCACGUAGGCGGCUUUGUAAGUCAGAGGUGAAAGCCUGGAGCUCAACUCCAGAACUGCCUUUGAGACUGCAUCGCUUGAAUCCAGGAGAGGUCAGUGGAAUUCCGAGUGUAGAGGUGAA